AGACCCGAAACCCGGUGAUCUAGCCAUGGGCAGGUUGAAGGUUGGGUAACACUAACUGGAGGACCGAACCGACUAAUGUUGAAAAAUUAGCGGAUGACCUGUGGCUGGGGGUGAAAGGCCAAUCAAACCGGGAGAUAGCUGGUUCUCCCCGAAAGCUAUUUAGGUAGCGCCUCGUGAAUUCAUCUCCGGGGGUAGAGCACUGUUUCGGCUAGGGGGCCAUCCCGGCUUACCAACCCGAUGCAAACUGCGAAUACCGGAGAAUGUUAUCACGGGAGACACACGGCGGGUGCUAACGUCCGUCGUGAAGAGGGAAACAACCCAGACCGCCAGCUAAGGUCCCAAAGUCAUGGUUAAGUGGGAAACGAUGUGGGAAGGCCCAGACAGCCAGGAUGUUGGCUUAGAAGCAGCCAUCAUUUAAAGAAAGCGUAAUAGCUCACUGGUCGAGUCGGCCUGCGCGGAAGAUGUAACGGGGCUAAACCAUGCACCGAAGCUGCGGCAGCGACACUGUGUGUUGUUGGGUAGGGGAGCGUUCUGUAAGCCUGUGAAGGUGUGUCGUGAGGCAUGCUGGAGGUAUCAGAAGUGCGAAUGCUGACAUAAGUAACGAUAAAGCGGGUGAAAAGCCCGCUCGCCGGAAGACCAAGGGUUCCUGUCCAACGUUAAUCGGGGCAGGGUGAGUCGACCCCUAAGGCGAGGCCGAAAGGCGUAGUCGAUGGGAAACGGGUUAAUAUUCCCGUACUUGGUGUUACUGCGAAGGGGGGACGGAGAAGGCUAUGUUGGCCGGGCGACGGUUGUCCCGGUUUAAGCGUGUAGGUGUGUGUUCCAGGUAAAUCCGGUUCACUUUAACACUGAGGCGUGACGACGAGGCACUACGGUGCUGAAGCAACAAAUGCCCUGCUUCCAGGAAAAGCCUCUAAGCAUCAGGUAACAUCAAAUCGUACCCCAAACCGACACAGGUGGUCAGGUAGAGAAUACCAAGGCGCUUGAGAGAACUCGGGUGAAGGAACUAGGCAAAAUGGUGCCGUAACUUCGGGAGAAGGCACGCUGACACGUAGGUGAAGUGAUUUACUCAUGGAGCUGAAGUCAGUCGAAGAUACCAGCUGGCUGCAACUGUUUAUUAAAAACACAGCACUGUGCAAACACGAAAGUGGACGUAUACGGUGUGACGCCUGCCCGGUGCCGGAAGGUUAAUUGAUGGGGUCAGCGCAAGCGAAGCUCCUGAUCGAAGCCCCGGUAAACGGCGGCCGUAACUAUAACGGUCCUAAGGUAGCGAAAUUCCUUGUCGGGUAAGUUCCGACCUGCACGAAUGGCGUAAUGAUGGCCAGGCUGUCUCCACCCGAGACUCAGUGAAAUUGAACUCGCUGUGAAGAUGCAGUGUACCCGCGGCAAGACGGAAAGACCCCGUGAACCUUUACUAUAGCUUGACACUGAACAUUGAGCCUUGAUGUGUAGGAUAGGUGGGAGGCUUUGAAGUGUGGACGCCAGUCUGCAUGGAGCCGACCUUGAAAUACCACCCUUUAAUGUUUGAUGUUCUAACGUGGACCCGUUACCCGGGUUGCGGACAGUGUCUGGUGGGUAGUUUGACUGGGGCGGUCUCCUCCUAAAGAGUAACGGAGGAGCACGAAGGUUGGCUAAUCCUGGUCGGACAUCAGGAGGUUAGUGCAAUGGCAUAAGCCAGCUUGACUGCGAGCGUGACGGCGCGAGCAGGUGCGAAAGCAGGUCAUAGUGAUCCGGUGGUUCUGAAUGGAAGGGCCAUCGCUCA
rnacentral:rRNA from 1 species